rnacentral:rRNA from 1 species
UACGGAGGGUGCAAGCGUUAUCCGGAUUCACUGGGUUUAAAGGGUGCGUAGGUGGGCAGGUAAGUCAGUGGUGAAAUCUCCGGGCUUAACCCGGAAACCGCCAUUGAUACUAUCUGUCUUGAAUAUCGUGGAGGUGAGCGGAAUAUGUCAUGUAGCGGUGAAAUGCUUAGAUAUGACAUAGAACACCAAUUGCGAAGGCAGCUCACUACGCGAAUAUUGACACUGAGGCACGAAAGCGUGGGGAUCAAACAGG